GACGAUCGCUGGCGGCGUGCCUAAUACAUGCAAGUCAAGCGGACCAAAGGGAGCUUGCUCCUGGAGGUCAGCGGCGAACGGGUGAGUAACACGUGGGCAACCUGCCUGUAAGACUGGGAUAACAUCGAGAAAUCGGUGCUAAUACCGGAUAAUAAAAAGAACUGCAUGGUUCUUUUUUGAAAGAUGGUUUCGGCUAUCACUUACAGAUGGGCCCGCGGCGCAUUAGCUAGUUGGUGAGGUAACGGCUCACCAAGGCAACGAUGCGUAGCCGACCUGAGAGGGUGAUCGGCCACACUGGGACUGAGACACGGCCCAGACUCCUACGGGAGGCAGCAGUAGGGAAUCUUCCGCAAUGGACGAAAGUCUGACGGAGCAACGCCGCGUGAGUGAUGAAGGUUUUCGGAUCGUAAAACUCUGUUGUUAGGGAAGAACAAGUGCCGUUCGAAAGGGCGGCACCUUGACGGUACCUAACGAGAAAGCCACGGCUAACUACGUGCCAGCAGCCGACGG
rnacentral:rRNA from 1 species